rnacentral:lncRNA from 1 species
AGAACUAUGAGUAUCUAGAGAGAAAAAGUUUGAGUAGAAUUCUUGAAAUAAAUUAGCGCAUGAGCAUAAAUAUAUAUAUAUAUACAAGGUCAACUUACCAAAACAAUCAAUCGCAACUUUUCUUGGCUAUAAAAAGAACUUACGUAUAUUUAUAAGCAACACAUAUAAGAUUAGUUGUACAUUUUUAAUAGAAAAAGAUUUGAUUUCAUUUAAAUAUUCUUGGAAAUAAAACAAAGAGAGCUCAGCAGUGUUAAAUGGAGGUCAGCGUGUCUCUCGCGGCACAUGAUCUUUAACUCGACAGCGAAGAUUAAGCUUAAUUUCACGAGCAUUCCAUUCCAUUCUUAUUAGAAAAAAAAACUAGUCAUUAACUUCAAAUCCGUUUGUUUUAUUCGCUUUGCUGCUUGUUUCGGUUUGUCUACUUUCGUUUUUAAAUUUUGUUUCUACCUUAGAAUUUGAAACUAAGACACCGUUAUUGAAUUAACUAUUUUUUUGAUAAAAUAGGAGUUGAUUAAACAUUUCUUAAUAAUUUUAUACAAUUAUGUUAAAUUUCAUAACUAUCAUGAAAAUAGUGCAUGUAAAACCAUUAAUCAAGGAUUUUUGCGAUGGAUGCAGAACAUGCUUUUUAAAUCGCAAAUGAAUUUAAACACUUUUUCUUGUUACUAGUUAGAAAUAUAUGUUUUUAGACCAAAAAAAAAAGUUUGCUCAAAAAAAAAAAGUUUGCUCAAAAAAAAAAAGUUUGCUAAAAAAAAAAAAGUUAGAAAUAUAUGUUAUCAUACAGCUAACUAUAUAUAUUUGUAAACUAACUAACUAACUAACUAACUAUAUAUAUAAACUGGGGGAUUAAUAGUUUCUUGUCAACAAAUAUGGUAACAUUUUAGAAAGUUAGAAUCGAACAUUUUGUAUACAAUGGUUAAUUAAUAAUACGAAUAAGAUAUGAUCUACAUUUAACCCUUAAUUGAGCUCAGGUGUUGUCCCUCUCCUCUUUGACACCGACCAAAACAAGCUUAAUCGUAUAGUAUUGCUAAAAAACGUGAUCCAGCUAUAUACAUUGCUAUUAC